GCGCGUGUGGUGAAAUUGGUAGACACGCCAGACUUAGGAUCUGGUGCCGCGAGGCUUGUAGGUUCGAGUCCUAUCACGCGCA
rnacentral:tRNA from 2 species